rnacentral:rRNA from 1 species
GAUGAACGCUAGCGGCAGGCUUAAUACAUGCAAGUCGAGGGGCAGCAGGGGUGUAGCAAUACACUCGCUGGCGACCGGCAAACGGGUACGGAACACGUACGCAACCUACCCAAAACUGGGGGAUAGCCCGGGGAAACCCGGAUUAAUACCUCGUAACCUUGUGAAGUGGCAUCACUUUACAAGUAUAGCUCCGGCGGUUUUGGAUGGGCGUGCGCCUGAUUAGGUAGUUGGUGUGGGUAACGGCCCACCAAGCCUUCGAUCAGUAACUGGUGUGAGAGCACGACCAGUCACACGGGCACUGCGACACGGGCCCGACUCCUACGGGAGGCAGCAGUAAGGAAUAUUGGUCAAUGGACGCAAGUCUGAUCCAGCCAUGCCGCGUGAAGGAUGAAGGUCCUCUGGAUUGUAAACUUCUUUUAUCUGGGACGAAACCCUCGUUUUCUAACGGGAUUGACGGUACCAGAGGAAUAAGCACCGGCUAACUCCGUGCCAGCAGCCGCAGUAAUAC